GCGUAAUUCCAUUCCUAUCUAUGGGGAAAUGUGGCCUACACAUUAGGGAAACAGACAAUAAAUCAGGCCUAUUAGACCUGUCAGUUAAUGUUUAACACUUUUUUUCCCCCCUGAAUGUUGACUUUUUGCAGUUCUACUAUGUUAUCAUUUCAAAAGUGUUAAUGAGAGUAUACUUCAAUAACCAGUCCAGAUUUCUAUUUUGUUUCCCCUUCUUUUUUAUCUUGACAUCAAAGGAUCGGAUAAGUUGCUCUGGUCAGAUUUCCCACUGUCUUUUCAAGUUCAAUAGACCUUACCUUAACACGGCUAUAUAUGGACAAAAAGUUUGAAGUUCUUUUAAACUUCUGUUUAAAAAAAAUAGUGCACAGCCCAGCACUUGGUGCACAGAUAACAUUUGCCCUCAGUUUAUUUAAAGUGUCCUGACGCAAGAACAUAGGUAGCUGAUGGAACAAAUCAUGAGAGAACUGCUGCACAGUGGGGAAUUUAGCAAGAGGUGUCUGGGAGAUAGAAUUGGGGUGGCUAAAGCACAGGAGAAAGAAGCAGCUGGAAUAAAAUUAAUGCAUGCUAGGAUGUCUAGAAAUUGCAGAAAGGACUUGAAUACUAUGGCGUAGUACUUUCCUCUGUGCCUGGUCAGAUUGAGUUCAGCAGUAUUUACUAAUUUUUUCACUUUUGAUGAAGCAGAGGAAAAAGAAACAUUUGGGAAGGUAUCCUAAUUGCAAAAUGUGAACAUAGAGAGAUGCCUGAUUCCUGUGGGCUCUUAGGAAAAUCCUGACCUAUAAUUAUAAAUUCAAAAGAAUCCCAAAAGAAUAGGGGACAAUAAUCCCAUACUCCAUUUAGGAUCUUGCUUAGGAUGUUGCUGUUGUUUUCAGCCCCUAUUUCCAUUUACGGCUAGAACUAAAUACAUUGGAUCCUCACUCACUAUUAUAAAAUAAACCCCAAAAUGUAUUUUUAUGGAGUAUUAUCUGGACUUUUGGAUUGAAAUCAGUGGUGGUUUACUAUGGCAAGAUGAGGGUACUUAAGUCAACAUAUUAGCCUGAUGCAGAAUGGAACAUGUUCCCUAUCAAAAUAUCCAGGAUGUUUAAUGAAGUUACAUCUUCAUAAUCUGUAGUAAGCUGCUUACACACCCUAGAUUUAUAUCUUCAUGCUUCAGCAGAUGGGGAGAAAAGACUGGAUUUCCUGCCCAAACAAUGUUGUUGUAUUUUGUGCCAGCACUCAUAAUGAAUGUAAAUUCAUCUGUACAUACAGAAAGCAAAUUGUAUCUUAUUUACGUGACCAGUUAGAUGUAUUAAAUAAAUAUUCAAAUGUCUCACUUAUUUAAACAGGCUACCCACCAAACUAGGCUUUCAGCAACUACUGUGCAUAUACCUUUAGCAAUGAGCUACACGUGAUCCUCAGAGGUAGCAGAGCUUUUCUUCUGCCAGACUUAAUGUCCUCUGCGUAACUCAGGUGUGGAUCCUCUUCUUUUUACUUUCUGAAAGUUAAUUACAAAAAGUAUUCCAGUAAAGCAGACUCCAUAACUGCCUCAACGCAGAGAUUUACAGGCAUUAGUUACACCACUGAAUCAGUGAAAGAAAAAAGAGAAGUGCAGUAUUAAUGGAUAGGAUGUUUUACUUAAAAGCUUGGGAGAUGGUGGCUUUAGAGGAAAGGAAUUUCUAGAAGUGACUUAGAUCCUUGUUCUUCAGCAGAUAACAUUAAUAGUAUUAAGUGGCAUUAAAACCCAAUGUAGUAGAAAAGGUGGGGAUCAUCAUGUCUUUUUAACAUAAUGACAAAUACAUUUAUAAAUAUAUAGGGCAGGCACUAUAUUCUGUGUUAUGUGCAGUUACAAAAAUCAACUCAAAGUAAAAUGGAAUAAAAUACUGUAAAUUGUAUUGUAAAUUGUAAAUGCUGGAACACAUACCCAUUUCUGUAUUAAUUUUGCAACAACAUGACCCAGCAUCUCAAGGAAGACUUAAAGACAGAAUAACUUUCAAAUGCUGUGCAUUUUACCUACUUACUGAGACCUCAUAGUGAAGGAGUAAGACCUUGCUUCCUUUCUCAGUUGCACACACAUCUGCCUGAGGGGAAAAACAGAGUAUCAGGUUCUUCUCAUAUUCUCAUAUUACUUCAAAACACUUGAAAAGAGUUUCUUGCCUCCCACAGGGUAUAACAGAGCAAGAGACUACUGGUGAAGGGAGGAGUUUUCUGAGGGUAGAAUUUGUGCUAUUGCUACCCAUGUGAGGAAGGUGAGGUGGGUGUCUGUCCCUAGGAUGACUUCCUGGGAGCGUUGGUGGAGUCAAGACCGGAUUUGUCUUUUGCUCUGUCUCUUUUGCUGGAGUUGUUGCUAAGCAGUGUUAAUACCAAAUAAUUUCUUCUUCUAAGUUAGCUUUUAGUUUACACUCAUUAUACCUCUUUCUGAUUAGAACAACACAUGUCAACCUUGAAUAUGCAACCUCACUAAGAAUUUAUAAGUGCACAUGGUACAGCUGCUGUGAGAACUGUCCUAGUUGUAUUUGUGGGCAUUCUUCAAAGGUGUUAUUCAGAUAUUUUACUGAAAUGGUUAUGAUGGCUACUGCUCAGACUGAAAUUUCUGAUCUACAAGGAGUAGUGACAUUCAAAUGGUAUUCCAGCGUUCAGCUAAUCCAACAGCACAGGCUCUUUCUCUUCCUCAGUCCCAAGGAGUGGCUGCAAUUAACAGUAAGAAAACAAGUCACUUGAUGAAGUGGCUUAUGAAGUUUUGAGAGUUCUCAGACUGUGAUCUGAUUGAUUGCUGGAAGAAUCUUAUCUGUACACAGACCUUAUAUUUUUACAAAAACCAGAAAGAUUUAAGUUUAGAUAUUUAUUGGUCAAAUGGGCAGUUUCUCCAAGUGGUUCCUGCAGAUUAAAGAAAAAGCAGUUGGAGGACUUCAGUCUCUCAGCGUGGUGAAAAGAACUUACCUAUGCAGGCAGGGAGGAGCAAACUCACUUCUCCAGCUGUGCAAGGGGAAAGAAGACACAGAAGUAAGUUUAUGAAGAGUUUUAAUAAUUAAAGCAGCUGUCUUUACUGUUCAUGUACACCAGGAAUCCAUUAAAGGGACACCAUUUUCCUGGUGCCUAGCACAAAAACAAAGCACUUUUGUUUGCAGGAGGAAAUGCUCAUGGAGGUGUUAAGAGCAUUUUUAUCUUUUUAUUUCCUGCAUUUUCAUCCAUUUUUCUCAAUUAUAAUGCUGUGCAAAACCCAAAACCUUAUCCUCACAUCUCAGUGACAAAUAACACAGAAAAUAAAUGUAGGAUGGCUCUAUAAAACUGGUAUAGAUUAGCUCAUUCAUAGGAGGUUAAUGGAGAUGAAUGACAAAAGCCAGGGAUCUGGCUGAUGAAUAUUCUUCUAUUUCCUUUUAACCUCUAACAAUAGAUGGCCAAAGAUAUCAGUGGUAAUGGAAAAACUGAAAUAAUCACAGAAGCACAGAAUGGCCUAGGCUGAAAGCAACCUUAAAGAUUACCUAAUUUCAAACCCCUUACGAUGGGCAGGGCUGCAACCCACCCUAUCUGGCUGCCCAGGCCUCCAUCCAACCUGGCAACCUGGCCUUGAACACUUCCAGGGAUGGGGCACCCACAGCUUCUCUGGGCAGCCUGUGCCAGUGCCUCACCACUCCCUGAGUAAAGAAUUUCCUCCUAAUAUCUCACCUAAGUCUCCCCUCUUAGUUUAAAUGUGUUUCUAGAUAAAAACACUGCAAUCUGAAAAUAUGUCACAUAAUAUAAAAGUGGCAAAGGCAAGCAUUCAGAAGUUAGGAAGAGAUAGUAUUAAGACUAUUAAUGAAACCAGAAUUCAUUUUCUUUCUAUGUUCUAAUUACAGCUCCACUAGGUGUUGAGAACUCCCACCUCCUCCCAAGCAUGACAGCUGGGAACUGAGUAACUGCACUGGGCUCCAGAUCUCUGAAAACCUGUCUUACCAUGUAAACUGGGAAAAAGAAUAAACAGCUUUGUUAGAAAACAGGAAUAUUUACUGUAGAAAUCAAUGCAAAGUAAUGAUAGAAAGUUUACAAUUAACAUAAAACAAGUUGGCAUUAACUUAACAGAGGACCCAGCACACCCUUCCUGUCUGUCCCUGCAGAGAUACAGCUGCUCCCCUAGGUUUGUUCUGCUCAUGGUCUUCUCACCUUUCUCUCACUUCUUCCUCAACAUUUAUUUCUUUCAACAAUCUACAGGUGACUCAUCAGGACUUUGAUAACCAGCCCUGCCAGGAUUUGGAAGAGGAGCACUGACAGGCAAGGGAGAGCUUAGCUGUCACUCUGCUCACCUGAACCAAAGGGAAGAAGAGAUCUGUGAAAAAGAAAUGACACUAGUACCCCAGCAACAAUGGCUUCUGUGCACAUGAAAUUUAACUACUGAUAUUACUCAUUCACAUUGUGGUUUCCAGGUGCAACAGGUCUUCUUAAGUACACAGCUUGCUUGACGUCUGAGCAGCCAGCCUACGCCCCAGAACUAAUGUAAGGAGCACAGCUAAGUGGUUGCUGGUUUUAAUCAACGUGAGAACUACUUUCACCCUCUUCAUUUACCAUAAGAAUAAGCACAGUAGAUAAGAGGAAAUGUUCAUCCAACCUAAUGCCAAAUCCAGCCAGUGGCCAACAAUGGAUGUCAAGGAAAGAAGUGAGCAAUCACAAAGUGAUUAAUUCUCGUGAAUGCCCUCCUAUGCUCAAAAACUGCAUGAGUGAGGGGAUCCUAAUGUGAUGCCUUUGGGUCGACCAUCUGUAUGGCUUUUUCUUUUGUUGUUGUUUGUUUGUUUGCUUUGUUACUACUUUUAUGUUAAAAGGGGAUAUACAUCAGUCAAUAUGGAAACUAAGAAGAUUCAAAAUCUGAGUCAGAAGACAUUGAAGACUGAUCCAUUUCAUUCUCUCCUGGGCAUUUUGUAGUAGAUAACUGUAGCCAGCAGAUAAACUUCAUCUUCACUAUUCUUUAUUUCUGCCUUUGCUGCCUCCACCAUCAGCCCUGGGCUACAAGAGUGAUCACUUCUUACAGAAUACAAUGGGAGAUGAAAACUGGAGCACUGAUAGGAAGAGAGGGAAGAGGAAGAAGUAGGACCAGGAGAAACAUAAAGGGAGAAUGCCUAGGACAAAUGUGCGAGGAGACAGAAUGCGGAACAUUGCUAGAGAUAAAUGGGUAUGUACAUGCAAGUGAGAAAGAUGAGAAUGACCAUGAGAAAGUGAAAAAAUGAAUGGGAUAAUAUAGCUGAUUGUACCUCUAAAUAAAUCAAAUACAACUAAA